GAGAAUGGAGUUCAGCGGGGAUGCUGGGACUUACAUGACAGACCUUGUGUCUGAGGAGCUCACUUUGGGAGAGAUACUCCUUUUGGAUCAACCCCUGAAGUGGGGGCCUGGCUUCUCAGGGUGCUUUGAAUGAAAGUCCAGAAAUAGGAGUGGAACAAGGAUGCCGUGCACCAGAACCCAACACUGUUCCUUUGGGCCGUAGCCCUCCCAGUCAUCCAGUGAUGGCUAAGGGUUGAUAAGGAGAGGGAGAGCAGAGAGGUGGUGUCUCCUGACCAGAGCAUGUGUGUAGAAUAAAGGACAUACUACAGUGGUGCUGAAAGCCAAGGAUACGGAAGGGAACCACCCAUGGAGUCCUCCCCACUCAAAGACCUCAUCCAUGCUGUUGCCACCACCCAGCAGAACCAGCACCAAGCUCUAAUCACCCUCUGCAAGGAUGCUUUUCCAGGCUUGUAUUGCAUCUUCUUUCAGUAGUUUUUUGUUUUGGGGGGGUUUCUCCCUUCAGUCUCCCCUUCAGGAGGUGAAAUGCUGCUCAGUUGGUUUAAGGUUUGGUGAUUGACUUGUCCAGCCUAAAUCCUUCCACUUUUUUCCCUAGAUGAAGUCCUGGGUUGUGUUGGCAGUGUGUUUUGGGUCAUUGUCUUACUGCAUGAUGACAUUCCUCCCAAGAUUCCAAGAUUAGAUUGGAUGGAUUUCUCUGUAAAUUGUCAGACAGAAUGUUUCUGUAGACUUCUGAGCUCAUUCUGCUGCUAUCAUCAUGAGUUCCAUCAUCAAUAAAGAUUAGUGAGUCUGUUCCAGAAUCAGCCAUGCAAGUCUAAGCCAUGACACUACCUCCACUGUGCUUGACCAGUGAGCUUGUAUGUUUUCAAUGAUAUAUAGAUUCUUUCUUUCUCCACACUUUGGCCCUUCCAUCUCUUUGGUAGAGGGCAAUCCUGGUUCCAGAUCUUUUAUGGCUUAUCCCUAUAUUUUUUGUGAAUUCAGAUCUGGCCUUAUGAUUCCUACUGCUGAUGAGUGGUUUACAUCUUGUGGUAUGGCCUCUAUAUUUCUGCUCUCAAAGGCGUCUUCGAAUGGUGGAUUGUAGUACCUUCACUCCUGCCUUGUGGAGGUUGUUGAUGAUGUCACUGACUGUUGUUUUGGGGUGUUUCUUUACAGUGCUCAAAAUGUUUCUCUCAUGAGCUGCUGCUGUUUUCCUUCGCUGACCUGUUCAAUGGCUGGUUUGCUGUCGCCCCUCACAUGUCCACUCGGGUUUGUUGACGGUGGAGUGACUGGCCAUUUUAUGUACCAGGGCUCCCUCAUGUCUGUGUUACCUUCUGGCUCUCCCUUUUAGUUAUGCUGUCAUAGUUAGUCUUGCUGGAGUCCCUGCUUGCACUCAGCACAAAAUGUACAUUAUUUUUGACCAUUAGGUGACACCAGGCAUACCCAACAACCUGUAUCCUCCCCGUCUCUCUCUCUCUCUCUCUCUCUGUCAAGUUACAUGUCAAUCCUGAGACACCAGUGGUGCUGACCUCUUCGCUCCUUGGAUCUACCUGAUCCAGCCUGAUGCCCUACUUCUGGCUGGAGUCUCAUCACAUCACUCCUGUGGAGGACGGCCCCAUAUGGACAAUCAAAACAUGCACUUAGAAGACGCUCUGGACACUUAGUUUUGCUAUGAUGGCUGGGGACUACAAUCAACAUAACUUUAGGACUGCAGUUGUCAUGAACAUUUUUACACUCAAGUUUCCAUCAAUAAAGAGUUUAUAACUUCAACAAAAAAGACUUCAUGUUAAAACUAUAAUGAAUUUCCUGGUUACACAGUUGUACUUUGUGACUCUAUAGGAGACAAUUAUAGAAGCGAGUUAUUUAUAACCACACAAUCUGUUAUCACCCAGAUGAGGAUGGGUUCCCUUUGAGUCUGGUUCCUCUCAAGGUUUCUUCCUUGUGUCAUCUGAGGGAGUUUUUCCUCACCACAGGCUUGCUCAUCAGGAACACAUUUAAUCUCACCUCAUUAUCUCUAGCCGCUUUAUCCUGUUCUACAGGGUUGCAGGCAAGCUGGAGCCUAUCCCAGCUGACUAUGGGCAAAAGGCGGGGUACACCCUGGACAAGUCGCCAGGUCAUCACAGGGCUGACACAUAGACACAGACAACUAUUCACACCUAUGGUCAAUUUAGAGUCACCAGUUAACCUAACUUGCAUGUCUUUGGACUGUGAGGGAAACCGGAGCAAAUCCACGCGGACAUGGGGAGAACAUGCAAACUCCACACAGAAAGGCCCUCGCCGGCCACAGGGCUCAAACUCGGACCUUCUUGCUGUGAGGCAACAGCACUAACCACUACACCACCGUGCCGCCCAGGAACACAUUUAUUAGUCCAAAUGUUUACAAUCUUCAUUUUUCUGUAAAGCUGCUUUGACAAUGUCAAUUGUUAAAGAAACUAUACAAAUAAAUUGGCAUGAUUUGACAUG